CUUGUCGACAGCUCAAACAGACCGCUACCAUGGCUUGUAAACUCUCUCUCUUCACCUCCACUCUCUCUCUAAUCCAUCCAGAAAUAUCUCCACGUUCUGCAAAAUUACCACUUCAAUUGCUAACUUCUCAAAUUUUCCAAAGCUUUACAGCUGCGAAAUCCAGAAGAACCGUAGUUGAAUGGAAGAUUUGUGCUGCCGCAGCUGGAAUGGAGGUUGAGGUUGAAGCUGACGUUGAAGUUGAAGUUGCAGAGGGGUACACGAUAACCCAAUUUAUUGAUAAGAUGAUCGACCUUUUCCUGAACGAGAAACCUAAGUCUCGAGAUUGGAAGAAAUACUUGAUUUUCAGAGAUGAGUGGGGCAAAUAUCGGCAGAAAUUUUAUAAUCGGUGUAAAACCCGCGCCGAUUCUGAAAAAGAUUCAAAUAUGAAGCAAAAAUUGAUAGACCUGUCGAGGAGAGUUAGAAAGAUUGAUGAUGAAAUGGAAAAGCAUACUGCACUGCUUAAAGAGAUACAAGAAAGUCCCAUGGAUAUCAAUGCUAUUGUAGCAAAGAGACGUGGGGAUUUUACAGACAGUUUCUUUCGCCAUCUCACGUUGGUCUCAGAAACCUAUGACAGCUUGGAUGACCGAGAUGCGGUUGCUAGGCUGGGGACUCGAUGCUUAUCAGCAGUCAGCGCUUUCGAUAAUACUCUGGAGAUUGUGGAUACAUUAGACAUUGCACAGGCUAAGUUUGAUGACAUCUUAAACUCCCCUUCAAUAGAUGCAGCAUGUGAGAAAAUAAAAGGCCUAGCCAAGGCAAAAGAGCUUGACUCUUCUUUAAUUCUAUUGAUAAAUGGUGCUUGGUCAGCAGCAAAGGAGUCAGCAACUAUGAAAAAUGAGGUGAAAGAUAUAAUGUAUCGUAUAUACAAGGCAACACAGAGCAGUUUGAGGAGUAUUGUGCCCCAGGAAAUUAAACUCCUGAAGUAUUUGCUGAACAUCACAGAUCCUGAAGAGCGAUUUUCAGCAUUGGCCACCGCUUUCUCGCCUGGCGACGAACAUGAUAUCAAACAACCAAAUGCUAUAUACACAACUCCCAAGGAGCUGCACAAGUGGAUUAAGAUCAUGCUCGAUGCAUACCAUCUCAAUAUGGAAGAGACUGAAAUCAGGGAAGCCAAGAAAAUGGACCAACCUAUUGUUAUCCAGAGACUUUUCAUCCUUAAAGAAACUAUUGAAGAGGAGUACUUGGAGCAAAAUGCCAAACCAGAGACGAACACAAAUUCAGAAGACAGCUGAUGUAAACUUUCCAUCAAAGGGUGCUCUGCUAAAUCUGUGGGAGCUAGUAAACCUAUAAGUUCACUUGAAGCAGUUGCUUAGUUCGUCAAGAUAUUGAGAUGGUGAUCGAGAUCACGUUUUGGAGGGGGUGAUGCCUUCUUCUUAGGCUUUUAUGUGAGCAAAAAAAGAAUAUCAUGCAGUUUGUGCAGCAGCUGAUGUUUUCUACUGAAAUUAGGCCCAAACUGCAACUUCAUGUGAAAUUUCUGUGUCUUCUUUUUCCUUUUCCUGAAUUGCUAAACCUAUGCAAAGAAUCAUGGGGGCAGGUGAUUGAUUUUAA